rnacentral:rRNA from 1 species
UACGGAGGAUGCGAGCGUUAUCCGGAUUUAUUGGUUUAAAGGGUGCGUAGGCGGGAUGCCAAGUCAGCGGUAAAAAUGCGGUGCUCAACGCCGUCGAGCCGUUGAAACUGGCGUUCUUGAGUGGGCGAGAAGUAUGCGGAAUGCGUGGUGUAGCGGUGAAAUGCAUAGAUAUCACGCAGAACUCCGAUUGCGAAGGCAGCAUACCGGCGCCCUACUGACGCUGAGGCUCGAAAGCGUGGGGAGCAAACAGG